rnacentral:lncRNA from 1 species
AAGAUCAUCUCCUGGAGUUGAGCAUUCUGAGCAUGGAGAUCUUUGACAGUUUGCCCGAGGUCCAUUUUUCUGCUUGCAUGAAAACUGUGAGAACAUUGAUCCCUUUAGAACACCUGUUAUGCAAUGCUAUGUCAUGCUAUGCAAUGUAUGCAAUGUUUUCAAGGACUUUUUGGAAUUUUAACUUUGCGUAAACCACCAAAAAAGGAAACUUUUGUUUUUCUCUCUUUUUUUUUUUUUUUUUUUUUUUUUUUUUUUUUUUUAAAAA